GUUGCAGCCUCACCCUCUACAUCCCUUUGCCCAUCACACCCAGCAGGUACCCACUCCAGCCCAGCCCCCAGGGGGCAGGCCCUAGGUGCUGGCUUCACGGGAUUUGGUCUGAGCCUCACUCACAGUGGCAUGUAUUCGGUGCCGGGACUCAACUCACCGUCCUAGGUCAGCCCAAGGCUGUCCCCACAGUCACUCUGUUCCUGUCCUCCUCUGAGGAACUCCAAGCUAACAAGGCUAUACUGGUGUGUCUCAUAAGCGACUUCUACCCAGGAGCGAUGACAGUGGCCUGGAAGACAGAUGGCACCGCCAUCACCCAGGGCGUGGAGACCACCCAACCCUCCAAGCAGAGCAACAACAAGUACGUGGCCAGCAGCUACUUGACGCUGACACCUGACCAGUGGAGAGCUCAUGGCAGAUACAGCUGCCAAGUCAUGCAUGAAGGAAGCACUGUGGAGAAGACAGUGGCCCCUGCACAGUGUUCUUAG